GUGUGACACCUGUCUCACACCUGUCUCACCUGUGUGUCACCUGUGUCUCACCUGUAUCUCACCUGUCACACCUGUCUCACCUGUAUCUCACCUGUCACACCUGCCACACCUUUCCAGGAGCUGAAGGGGACCCUGGCUCUGGAGCUGUUACCUGUGUCUCACCUGUCACACCUGUCCCUUCCCUCUGUCACACCUGUCUCACACCUGUCUCACACCUGUGUCUCACCUGCCUCACACCUGCCUCACCUGCCUCACACCUGUCUCACCUGUAUCUCACCUGUCUCACCUGUAUCUCACCUGUCUCACCUGUCUCACCUGUCUCACCUGUAUCUCACCUGUCCAGGAGCUCAAAGGGACCCUGGCCCUGGGGCUGUUACCUGUGUCUCACUUGUCUCACAUCCAUCUCACACCUGUCUCACCUGUCUCACUUGUGUAGGAGCUCAAAGGGACACUGGCCCUGGGGCUGUUACCUGUCUCACACCUGUCUCACACCUGUCUCACCUGUGUCUCACCUGUCUCACACCUGUCUCACACCUGUCUCAACACCUGUCUCACACCUGUAUCUCACACCUGUCUCACCUGUAUCUCACCUGUCCAGGAGCUCAAAGGGACCCUGGCCCUGGAGCUGUUACCUGUCUCACGCCUGUGUCACACCUGUCUCACACCUGUGUCACACCUGUGUCUCAUCUGUCUCGUCUCACUUGUCUGACCUGUGCAGGAGCUGAAGGGGACCCUGACCCUGGAGUUGUUACCUGUCUCACACCUGUCUCACACCUGUCUCACACCUCACACCUGUCUCACCUGUAUCUCACCUGUCCCAUCUCACCUGUAUCUCACCUGUGCAGGAGCUGAAGGGGACCCUGGUGCAGGAGUUGUUACCUGUCUCACACCUGUAUCUCACCUGUCUCACCUGUCUCACCUGUCUCAUACCUGUCUCACACCUGUAUCACACCUGUGUCUCACCUGUGCAGGAGCUCAAAGGGACCCUGGCCCUGGGGCUGUUACCUGUGUCACACCUGCCUCACACCUGUCUCACCUGUAUCUCACCUGUCUCUCACCUGUCUCACCUGUCUCACCUGUCUCACCUGUCUCACACCUGUCUCACACCUGUCUCACCUGUCUCACCUGUAUCUCACCUGUGCAGGAGCUGAAGGGGACCCUGGCCCUGGAGCUGUUACCUGUCUCACACCUGUCUCACCUGUCUCACACCUGUCUCACACCUGUGUCUCACCUGUGCAG
rnacentral:lncRNA from 1 species